ACAUGCCCCCGACCGGAAUCGAACCCGGGACCCCCCAGUCCACAGGCCGAGGCUCCAUCCACUGAGCCAAACCGGUUUCGGCAAUAUCCCGAUCUUAAUAAAACAGGGGUACCUGAGCAUUAGGGGCCAGGAGAACAGGUUAGAAAGGUGCAGAAGCCACUUCACAGAGAAGUGCUUCAUUGGGAGUGCCCAGCAGGGAGAAGCGCUGCUCCAGUGGCGCUCAGGGGUUUGCCAGGUUGUAGCCUAAAGUUUCAGAGAUUCUGUGUAUUGUGAUACUUGGAAUGAGAUUGUUUACUUUAAGGCCCAGCAGAUCCCAUUAACCAUUCCCUUACCUUUAAAGGGCCCUGGCCUCUAGGAUGUUGACAUGGCUCUAAAAUGCAUGACUAACUUAACAUUUUAAUACAGUUAUUGGGGAAAGGUUUUGACAAGAAUGUUGGGAGGCUGUGCCAAGAUGCAUAUUUGAGAAAUGCCCAAACUGAGGCCAAGAGGCUACUGCUCCCAAAAUACUCAAACAGAUGGGUUUGGGAUAUUUGCAUGGGUGAUUCCAGAAGAUUUGCAGUAGCGAUGGAGUUAGCUAAAUAUGGUCAGUUCUCCACACAAAAGUGGCUGGUUAUUCUGUAUGUUUUGCCAAAGGGCAGGGGAGAAGCAGUAGACAGAAAAAGAAAAGGCAUGUCUUUUAUCUAGAUUCCUCUCCUUUAAAACAAAGAGUGUUUUACAUCCCAUGUAUAAGGCUAUGUUCUUGUUCAUGGAGUAGAAGUUCAUUUGUUAAGCUCUAGAUCUAUGGAAUUGAAUUGACUUCCUGACACAUCUUCAUGAAUUGCUGUAAAAAAAAUAUCGCAGAAAACAUAUAUGCACAACCCACAGAUACAGACAACAGGGAGGUGGUGGCCAGAGGAAGGGGUGUGGGACCUGGGUGGAGGUGGCAAGAGGAGGGGUGGGGGAUGGGGACAUUUGUAAUAGUGUCAACAAUAAAAAUAAAGUUAAAAAUACAUUUUGAUGGGUUUCAUAGAGGCAGAUUAGAGAACAGGGAUUUAUUCAUUCCAGGCUAGCUGGAGUACACAUGUUAAACACUUUGAAGAAUACAGAGCUGAAUGGACAUGGUACCUUAGUUGUCCAAAAUCAUAAUCAAGUAAAGAUACAAUAGUUAAAUUCCUAUUAGUUAAAUUCGCAUGGCAGAAAAAGCAUCUUAAAAGGAGAGAUUUAUUCCUCUUUGGAUCUGGAGAAAUCAUUCAGCCAUGAUUGAUUUGGAAACACAUCUUGGAAAAGGUGGCAUUUAAACUGAACCUUACAGGAUGAGCAGGCCUUUUUCAGACAGAUGGAGGAAGACGGGGAGGGUAGAUACACAGCUUCUCUUUAGUGUCUAUUCUGUAAUGUGUGAGACCUGUGAGCCUUUUUUUUUGGUUCAAGGAGUUGCUUUAUCUUGGGGAGCAGACAGACUCUAAGAAGUGGGAUUCUGCAGCUGGCUAAGCAGCAUCAUGGCAUUCGAUAGAAAAUUCAUAAACUGUGAACACUGUCUUCAUUUCAUUUUUCUUACUGAGCGGCCAUGUAGGCAGCAAUGACCUUAGCUCUGCCACUAGUUCCAUGCCCUUCGACAAGGCACUUGAUUUCUGAGCCUCGGCUCUCUCACCUGGCUCCCACAGGGUUAGGUAAUAAGAGGACCAAACUAGAAUGAACACUUUCAGACAGGGGGAAAUAUUUUGCAAACUGUAGAGUUCUACACAAAUGUCAGCUGUAAUUUUGUUGUCUGGUUGUCCUUGUUCCGUGGCCAGGAGCCACCUGAUGAGACCAGAAGGGUAUGUUGACCGCCCGUGCCACUUUUAGGGGCUGGUUCAGUAACCAAACUGCCCUUCAGCUGGGUUUUAAAACCUGUUACUGGUUUUUUAAACACCACGUGGGUAUAAAUAUUCAUCAGAGGCUAGGGCCUCUGGCAGGCCUAGAGAACUUGGGAGUGGAGAAGCAGAAAUCAUGGAGCUUGUGUAGAGGACUUUCCCCUUCAUUCUGGGGUAAGAUUGGAUUCUAUCAACAGUGAAGAGGCUGCAUGUCCUCGAGAAAAUACGUACGUAAACAAAGCUUAAUUGAAGUCUUUAAGGAAAUCCUAACAUAUUGGAACAGUAUAAUUAGUAAGGAAGGGUUCACUUAAUUAAAAAAGAAAAAGCAUAGUUUACUGAAGUCAGUUUUGUAUAACUGCUUAUAGGAUAGUUUUAUUUAAUUUGAAGCCUAGCAGUAGUUUAAACUUUUGUUAAAGUAGCAUGUAAAAGAGACUAACUUUUCUAUUCUCUUGGAUACAUUAUUAAAAUUCUUGGAGGCUUUAAUAUAAUGUUAUAUUCUGAAAGAAUUUUCUCUGGAUUCUGUGUAGAAGCUUGCAUCUAUUAUGUUAGUGAAAAAAUUUUGAGAGGGAAUCAAAUCUGUUCCUAGUCCACUCACAGCAUGCCUUCAUGACCAAAGUGUAGUCAAAAGCAUAGUCUAUUUGAAAAUUUAAAGUACAUUCUUGUUUCUACUCCCACCACAGAAACCCUGGCAGGUGGGGGUGGGUUUGGCCACUCUCUGGCCAGCCCUGAGCCAGACACCACCAUUGUAAGGAAACUCCACCAGAAAUUCAACUCGUUUCUCCAAAAAAAAAAAAAAAAGAAAGAAAAUUUAAAGUACAGUCUUCUAAAAGUAUACCUCGGAGCUGGGGUCUUCCAACUUCAUUAUACAACUGAACCACAUAGGUCACUUCUUACAAAUGCAGCUUCUUAAGCUGCAGUCUUGGGUAUUCUGAUUCAGUGGGUCUGGCAACCUGUAUUUCUAGGAGGCCUCCAGGCCCUUCUGAUGCAGGUGGCCCAUGUCACCAGAAUGCCACCCCAGAUACCUGCCCUGUCCGUCCUCUCCCUACAAAUGCCCUCAGGAAAAUCAAGUGCCUUUGUAAUGAAUUUUCAUGGGCCUUGACAACCUUAUACAUAAUUUAUGAGUUUUUCUAAAAGCCAUAAGGCCCACAUGUAUCCUUGGGUACGUGCCACACAGAUGCACUGAUGAACAGAAUUCUUAGUCCCUAACCAGCCAGGAAGAAUUCUAUAGGUCAGCUCGGAAUGCAAUUUCAUUUAUUUCUGAGGCAGAAUCUUUUUUUCCUUCAAGGUUGAUCUCUUGGGUCAAUCUCCUUUUGUCAAAUCUUGCCUCCCUGUCUCACUCCAUGUAGCAAAUUAAUGUUCCCUCUCUUUGCUACCAUUGCAUCUUGCGUUCUGCAUGGCUAUGUGCCCCCCGUGUUACACAGAUGUCUGGAGAUAAGGGAUAGUGUUCUUUAUCUUUGAAACCACACUCUCUGACACAUACUCAACAGAAGUUUUGUUGAAUGAUUCAUGUCUUUGGGUUAAUGUACUCUCUUCUCCCCUCACUCCUAUUUCACAAGACAUGACCACAAAACUGUGUCAUCCCAAAGCAGCAGAACUUCUACAAUAUCUACCUUAAUGAUGAUAGCAGUAUUAAUGACAAUAAUAAUAGUUUCUAAAAAUCGACCCAGUUAUUUUUACAUCUGGCACUAUUCUAAGCACUGCAUAUGAAUUAUUUUAAUUUAAUUCUCAUAAAAACCUCAGGUAUCCCCAUUCGCACAUGAGGGAACUGAGACACAGAGAAGUUACGUAGUUUGCCACAGGGAUACGGGCACUUAGCAGGAGAGCCGAGCUUCUGGCCCUAACAGUGUAACUCUAGAGCCUGGGUUCACAAUGUCCCUUUGCCUACCUUUGCCCAACUGCCUGUCUUGCCCUCCCCUGUGUGCCUGAGACGAUUGUGAAUCCAUUCCAGAGGAAUAGCAAGGGCCUAAGUCAAUUGUCUACUGACCUUAUUCCACAAAUUUGAUCAUGGGCCCUCUGUGGAAAACUUGGGCAAGUAAACUUAAAGUGUUUCUUUACUGCCUGGUGCUAAGACCUUUAAUAUUAUUAGUGCAUUUUGUCCACCUCAAAGGAGACCUUAGUAUAUAUACAGUUUCCCAAACUUAUGCAACUAGAGAGAAUCCUCCCCCAGCCCCCCGCCAUAAAACUCUUAACUUCCUUUAAAAAAACAACAAAAACUCAACUUCUUUAAGAACUAGUUUUGUUGUUAGUGUAAUUUGGGGGAAAUGCUAGCUAGUGCUCCUGUGGGGUUCCCAAGAAAUUUCUCAGGUCCUAAAAAUUUGGGUAAUACUUUUGACCCUAUCUUAUUUAGCUGGAGUGUCUUUAGUGCUUAAGUACUUAAGUAGAGUCUUCAGUAACUACACACAUUUACCUGGGAUAGUUACAGAUCUGCUGUCACCAUCUAAUUACUAAUAGUGCUCUUUUCAAAGGUACCCCAUUUAGAGGAUAAGCUCUAUGAUUGCCCUAAUCAUAGCACUUAUAUCCGCCCCCCCAUCCCCAU